rnacentral:lncRNA from 1 species
AAUAUGUGCCUGCCCAUUGCUACUGGAAUCCUCCACUCUCUUCACUGUAUGAUUUGGAAAGACCGUUCUGUAAAGUACAUACAUAAUCAAUCAGAAAACUAAAGCUCAGAGAUUAAGUUCAGCCAGGAACACGGUGGAGAUAGCAGAGCUGGGUAUACUUGGAAGGACUUCUUUUAAAAGUGUUGGAUUUGAAUCCAGGCUGUUGAUUCUGUGGUGUUGGUUCCAACACUUAAGGACAUUAGAAGUAUUAUACUUACGCGUCCUGAUGAUCACCUGAGAAAAUCAUAAGGUAAUAUAUGAAUAAUCUAUUCCUGGCAUGUCAAUUUCCCAUGACCAAAAUCACAAAUAAUAUGCCUAUUGGGGCACUUAUAGCUAUCGUAAUUAUGAAUAUCUAAUUCAUCACAUUACUCUAAAUCCUGCCGAACUUAAUUUUCCUAUUAUACUAUUCUUCCUAUGAGCUCACCUUGAUCCUGCUACUCCUGGAAUGUAUAAUAUCUAAGAAAUUAGAGUACAUAUCCAAAUUCCACUUUGGCCUACUAUACUGUAAAAUAUCAGUUCUCUAUACUGCACAUUGAAAUUUAUUCUUAGGAUCAAAUCUUAUACACUCGUAACCACACUGAAAAAGAAUAUGUGAAAAC